rnacentral:rRNA from 1 species
GUGGCGGACGGGUGAGUAACACGUGGGAACGUGCCUUUUGGUUCGGAACAACUCAGGGAAACUUGAGCUAAUACCGAAUGUGCCCUUCGGGGGAAAGAUUUAUCGCCAUUAGAGCGGCCCGCGUCUGAUUAGCUUGUUGGUGAGGUAAAGGCUCACCAAGGCGACGAUCAGUAGCUGGUCUGAGAGGAUGAUCAGCCACAUUGGGACUGAGACACGGCCCAAACUCCUACGGGAGGCAGCAGUGGGGAAUCUUGCGCAAUGGGCGAAAGCCUGACGCAGCCAUGCCGCGUGAAUGAUGAAGGUCUUAGGAUUGUAAAAUUCUUUCACCGGGGACGAUAAUGACGGUACCCGG